rnacentral:rRNA from 1 species
UGGGGAAUUUUGGACAAUGGGCGCAAGCCUGAUCCAGCAAUGCCGCGUGCAGGAUGAAGGCCUUCGGGUUGUAAACUGCUUUUGUACGGAGCGAAAAGGUUCUUUUUAAUACAAGGAACUCAUGACGGUACCGUAAGAAUAAGCACCGGCUAACUACGUGCCAGCAGCCGCGGUAAUACGUAGGGUGCGAGCGUUAAUCGGAAUUACUGGGCGUAAAGCGUGCGCAGGCGGUUUUGUAAGACAGAUGUGA